rnacentral:hammerhead_ribozyme from 1 species
UGCUGACGAGUCCCAAACCGGACGAAACAGCUGUCCA